rnacentral:rRNA from 1 species
GACGAACGCUGGCGGCGUGCUUAACACAUGCAAGUCGAACGGAAAGGCCCUGCUUGCAGGGUACUCGAGUGGCGAACGGGUGAGUAACACGUGGGUGAUCUGCCCUGCACUUCGGGAUAAGCCUGGGAAACUGGGUCUAAUACCGGAUAGGAGCCAUUUUUAGUGUGAUGGUUGGAAAGUUUUUUCGGUGUAGGAUGAGCUCGCGGCCUAUCAGCUUGUUGGUGGGGUAAUGGCCUACCAAGGCGGCGACGGGUAGCCGGCCUGAGAGGGUGGACGGCCACAUUGGGACUGAGAUACGGCCCAGACUCCUACGGGAGGCAGCAGUGGGGAAUAUUGCACAAUGGGCGCAAGCCUGAUGCAGCGACGCCGCGUGGGGGAUGACGGCCUUCGGGUUGUAAACUCCUUUCGCUAGGGACGAAGCUUUUUGUGACGGUACCUAGAUAAGAAGCACCGGCUAACUACGUGCCAGCCGCCGCGGUAA